UCCGGCUUGUCGCCGGCGGUCCCUCUAGAGUGCCCAACUGAAUGAUGGCAACUAAAGGCGAGGGUUGCGCUCGUUGCGGGACUUAACCCAACAUCUCACGACACGAGCUGACGACAGCCAUGCAGCACCUGUGUUCCCGCCAGCCGAACUGAAGAGCUCCAUCUCUGAUGCUCAUACGGGACAUGUCAAAAGUUGGUAAGGUUCUGCGCGUUGCAUCGAAUUAAGCCGCAUGCUCCGCCGCUUGUGCGGGGACCCGUCAAUUCCUUUGAGUUUCAGUCUUGCGACCGUACUCCCCAGGCGGAAUGCUUAAAGCGUUAGCGACGGCACCCGGGGACUUUAUAACCCCAGACACCAAGCAUUCAUCGUUUAAGGCUAGGACUAC
rnacentral:misc_RNA from 1 species